rnacentral:lncRNA from 1 species
UCCUAAUGUAACAGAGUUUAUGCAGUCACACUGUAUAUCAGUGCAUUCGCAUUCUUCCCAGUUCCUCCCUUGAAAAACUCUUUAACCCUUUGGCCACUUUUAGCCCAAACCAGCAGAGAAGCACGGAGCUCAGACCCUACAUUUGCAAUCGGUUGGGUAAAGAGCGACCCUGGCAGGGCUGCAGCUGUGAGAAACACCGACCCACGCUGCCAGCCCCUAUUAGACACCAGAGAAUCCGCACAGUGCUGACAUCUGAUUGAUGUCCGAACCGUGGGAAAAAGCUUCCCUGGGAGUUUGUGCCCUCCCAGACACCCAGUGCCAAGCUUCGGGGCGGGAGAGGGGAAGCAGCUUAGCAGAAGUCAUAGCCAGGAGGGCUAGGGCUGGCACUGAAAGCAGCGCUGGGGCUGCAGCCCCAAAGCCUUUGGCACUCUGGAAGUCUCAUCUUGGAAGGAAUCACUGCAAAUUACUGUCUCUGCUGAGGGCGUUACAAGCUGUCAGGGCUUGGGGCACCAAUACUCCUUAACAGCCCUGAGCAGCCUCACCUGGGGGCCUCUAUCCACACCCUUCGUGCUCGGCCCAGGAGCCCUAUUUAAGCUCAGCACAGAGCUCUCAGCUCUUGUUGCAGCACUGCUGAGGCUGGCUUGCUCUCAGCCCUGCUUGUAUAUGGGCCCUGCUGAACUUGACCCCAGUGUGGAAGCUGGCUUUGUGACCUCUGGCCUCUGUGGAGCUGCUCAGCACCUGCUGGGCCUGAUCCUGGGGCUGACUCCAGGGCUGAUUCAUUGCUUGCCUUUUACUGGUCUGCCUCAUCGCUGUGAGCUUGCUUGGUGACCCUGGGGGCUCUUGGAUGAACACUGGGGUGACCCCUGGAGCUGCUCUGCCCCACUUUGAGGCUGGACCCUGGCUGGUGACAUCCCUUCUUGCCCUCCUGACUCCUUUGGGAAGCAGCUGGCCCUGCUGCUCCUUAACUCGGUCAAGACCAAAGGAAAUACUUGUGUGUAGCAAACUGCCUACGAGCUGCUUUCCACGCAGGGGAUUUAACCACACUACAAUCCUGUUCAUGCAGUGAAACUGUGAAGGAGACCGAAGCGGGGCAUAAAUCUUUUUGCAGUUUAGAGCUCGUUUAGCUGUGGAUUGCGCUGCCAGGUGUAGUAGUAGCAACAGUCCAUGUUACCUCUAUGGUCUUUCAUCUGAGCUUCUCAGGGAUGUACGAUCUUUCCCUCGAGCCCCCAUUGCUGUUGGAGCAAUGGCUGAGCAGCCGUAAUGCAGUGCGUCAGGAAGAAGUCAGAAGGGGUAACAGUGAAGACAAAAUGGAGCUGGGUGGACUUCU